rnacentral:rRNA from 1 species
ACGCAUUGCUGGGUAGCUAAGUGCGGAAGAGAUAAGUGCUGAAAGCAUCUAAGCACGAAACUUGCCAAGAGAUGAGUCAUCCCUGACUUUAAGUCAGUAAGGGUUGUUGUAGACUACGACGUAGAUAGGUCUGGUGUGUAAGUGUAGUGAUAUAUUGAGCUAACAGAUACUAAUUGCCCGAGAGGCUUAACUAUACAACGCUCAAG